rnacentral:lncRNA from 1 species
ACUGCACUGUACUGCACAAGCUUCGCGUCUACUCCCUCCCCCCCAAAAUGGCGCAUCCGGUGGCGGAGGCCGACGAGAAGAGCCCCUUCGGCCGCCUCACCGCGGAGGAGUUCUACGCGCGCCACGGCGUGGUCAACUCCUCCUCCACCUUCGUCAACCCGCGCGGCCUCCGCAUCUUCACCCAGCGCUGGGUCCCCGCGGGCGUCGACGCGCCCCUCCUCGGCGCCAUCGCCGUCGUCCACGGCUUCACGGGGGAGUCCAGCUGGAUGGUGCAGCUCACCGCCGUGCACUUCGCCAAGGCCGGCUUCGCCGUUAACCCAAUACGAGAUUAAUCAAAAUUUAAAAUAAAAAUAAAAUAAAAUCCAAAAUUAGAAAAGAAAAGGAGAGACCAUGUAGGAAUACAAUUUAAAAAUAACUAAAAUUCGAAAUUAAAAAUAAAAAAUUAUAAAAGAAGAAUCUAUAUAAAAACCCAAUACGAGAUUAAUUAAAAUUUAGAAUAAAAAAUAAAAUAAUAUUCAAAUUUAGAAAAAAUAAAAGAGAGGUCAAGUAGGAAUAUAAUUUUAAAACAACUAAAACUGAAAAUAAAAAAUAUAAAUAUUAAGGAACACAAUACGGUAUUAUUAAAAUUAAAAAAAAUAAAUUCUGAAAUUAGAAAAAGAAAAGAGAUUUCAAUUAGCAAUACAAUUUAUAAAUAACUAAAAUUUAACUAAAAUUCGGAAUUAAAAAUAGGGAAUAUUGAAAGAAGAGUCCAUAUAAGAACCCAAUACGAGAUUAAUUAAUAUUUUAAAUAAAAAUAAAAAUAAAAUCUGAAAUUAGUAAAAAAGAAAAAAAAGAUAAGAGUUCAACUAGGAAUAUAAUUUAAAAUGAAUUAAAUUCGGAAUUAAAAAUAAGCACUAUUGAAAGAAGAAUCCAUAUAAGAACCUAAUAAAAGAUUAAUUAAAAUUCAGAAAAAAAAUAUCCAAAUUUAUAAAAAUUAAAAGAGAGUUCAAGUAGGAAUACAAUUUUGAAACAACUAAAACUGAAAAUAAAAAAUAAAAAUAUUAAAGGAACACAAUACGAUAUUAUUAAAAUUUAAAAUAAAAAUUCUGAAAUUAGAAAAAGAAAAAGAUUUCGAUUAAGAAUAUAAUUUAUAAAUAACUAAAAUUAGUGAUAAAAAAAUAAAGAAUAUCUCUACUAUUAUAAAAAUUGAAGAUGUUUUUGCCAAGAUUUUGAUACGUUGAAGAUGUUUUUUCAACGAAUUUCGUACGUCGUCUCCUGAUAGCUGACGUCGCGAGUCCGUGUCAAGUUACUCCGUAACCAGGGCUCGAUUGAUUACCGUUGCUUUUAUAUAAUUGUGACACGGAUUGGUGGCGAUACACGCUGCACAGCUAUUGGCUGGUCCUGUUAACACCGGGAUUUCCUGCUCGCUGCGGAUUAAUGACUGUAAUCCUUUUUGAAUAAAAUUGUUUUCUUUUUCUGUAGAUUAUCCAGAGUAAUCAUGGCAUAUGUAUAUGAAAUUAAAUAAGAUAUUGCCUACACUCAAAUUAAAUAUUUGGAGACGACUCCCAGUCGGGCGCCUGUCGCGCCUGGAGAAAUACCUUUUACAGAACGCUAGUGUAUUAAUCCUCGUCCUAGAAAAAGCCAGGGUACACCACACAAACAUUAGAUAAAAGACACAUCUUUAUUAUAUCGAUAAUAUUUACAUUAUUACAAAGGCACUUCAGGCCUGACAAACAAAAAUAAACAGCAACUGUAGGUGAAGUGGGCCCAGGGGUAUGCGGAGUAAGGGAAAACUACCUUCCCAUCCUGGCGCAUGACCUACAGCAUGGCUCUACCCUCGUACCCCCGGGGUCGAACGAGCGGUCAGGGGGCCUCGAGGGCCUCGAGGUACCACGUCAAACCUCUCGGGCCCUCGCGCCGUCUUACCCCGAGGGCUCGGGGUGCCACGUCAUAUCCCUCGGGCCCUCAGGCCGUCUUGCCCCGAGGCCCCCGCCUGUCCACCAUUUGGCGGGGGAAGCGAGUGGGGAGAGAGAGCCCAUGCUAAGCCUUCUUCAAUGAAACACAGCGCCCCAACUGCCCCCUGCCGCAUUUAAUGCGGUAGGGGCAGACUCGCGGCGUACGCGACUGGUGCAUGGCAGACAGGAAUGACCGGUCUGUGACCGACCUGUCACCAGUCGCGUCUGACUGGAUGGACAGCUGCACCCCCAUGUCACAUCUGCCUCCAGCGGAGUGGAGGCAGGUAUGACCCGUCCCAUCGGGAGGGUCAUUCGAGAUCCUCCCCGCCGGAGGACGGCCACCAUGGUUCUUCAUCCAUUAAUGGGAGAAUGACAAGGAUGUCCCCUGUGUCAGGCAAGGGACGGUGCUGGGCCCCACUCCAAAGAGAAACCAUGGCUUAGCUUCCAAGCCAAGGCACAAGACAUGUAAUUAAUGUAGAGAAUAUUUUCCCUUCUCCCUAGGUAGAUCUCGGAGCAUGUGUGGUAUCUCCUUAGAAUAUAAAAGGAGGGCCACGUCUAGUGAAAAGGGGGAUCAGACUCUGGACCCAGGGGGGAUAGCUUCUCUAACUCUAGCUUGUACAUCUCAGAUUCGGAGGCUUCCCGACCACAGAAGAAUCAUCAUACAAACAGGAGUAGGGUGUUACGCUUCACACCGGUCCGAACCUGUAUAAUCUCGUUGUGUGCAUAUUAGCUGAUAAUUUAGGGGGCGGGUACGUGACUUCUAGAGGCAGGCCCUUUCCCCUGGCCGAACUCACAAAAGGAGGAUCCCACGAUCUCCCGCUCGAGAGGAUCACUCCUCGACAGCUGGUGCGCUAGGUAGGGGGAAGUCUGCGCGCUUCGAAAGGAAGUUGUUUCCUUCCGCCCCAAGUUUUCCUGCGGCCCCGACGAUCAUGGUCGAGGUUUUAGAGGAAGAAAUGGAGAUGCAUACCCCACCCCUUCCGGGAGUGAAGAUGCCAGCGGGAGUCGCAACCCGCGUCACCGCAGACGCGACUAGCGGACUCCACCCCCCCGCGACCCCCCGCAGAGGGAGAUUCCCGAUCGAUCGGGAGGCUCGGCCCUCUCCCCGCCUCUGGAUGGGGGGAGGCCGGGGCAUGUUCGAGCGCGCCGCCAGCAGCUCGCCUCAGGGCGCACUUCAGGCGGCAGGAGCCCUUCUGCGCCAUCCUCCGGUGGACGCGGAUCCGGAGGCCCCCGUCCGACGAUGGUUGGAUGACGUCGCCAACAUCGUCACCACUGCCCAGCAGCAGUUGGCCGCGAGUGGCCGUUCCGCCGACACAGGUACGUCACGUACCUCUACCGUCCUCUCCUCGUCAGCAAGGAGAAGGGCCCGUCGGAUAGCCACGGCCUCAAGGCGAUCUGCGACCCCAACGUCGUCAGGGGUCUCGGAAAGCCGGAGGCGUCAUGAUGGCCUGUACGGGGGGGGGGGGGGGGGGCAGGACGCUCGAGUCAGCAUUGAGCGUCAACGAGACGAGCGCCGCGCUACCCGCAUGGGAGAAAGCGCCUCCUCGUCUGGAGUGCCGCGUUCCUCCUCGUGCGGCGGCCCGUCCCUCACGUCCACCCCAGGGGGAACUGGUUGGAGGGCCUUCGUGGCGAGUCUCCGGAAUGUCCGGUGGCCCCCGAAGUUUCUCCCCAACCUCACAGAGAAGUAUGAUGGCAGCAUCAAUCCCUCCGAGUUCCUCCAGAUCUAUACCACGAUCAUCGUGGCAGCGGGAGGGGAUGACCAAAUCAUGGCGAAUUAUUUCCCCAUGGCUCUUAAGGGUCAGGCGCGCGGAUGGCCUAUGACCCAGCCCCCCGACUCCAUCCACUCCUGGGAGGACCUGUGACAGCAGUUUAUCACAAACUUCUAGGGCACAUACCCCCGUCCGGGGGAGGAAGCGGACCUACACGCUGUACAGUGGAAAGACGAUUAGUCCCUCCGCUCAUACAUACAGCGCUUCUGCCAGGUCUGCAACACUAUUCCGUGCAUCCCGGCCCACGCGAUCGUUUAUGCGUUUCGGAACGGCGUACGGCACAACCGCAUGCUGGAGAAAAUUGCCUCCAAGGAGCCUAAGACCACUGCCGAGCUCUUCGAGCUAGCGGACAAGGUGGCUCGGAAGGAGGAGGCGUGGGCUUGGAACUCCCCUAGCACCGGAGCGGCGGCGGCAGCCGCCCCCGAAACUGCCCCCCGCUCCAAGCGGCGGGAUAGAAGGGGCAAGCGGAAGAGUCAGCCCGCUCUGAUGACGAGGGCCAUGUCCUUGCGGCUGAUGGGCCCUCGCGGGCCCCGCGCAAGGAAAAGACCACCGGCGGCAAGCCGAGCCCUACCGCCCCUUCCGGUGAGGGUCGGUCGGCGGACAAGUGGUGCUCGGUGCACAAUACUUAUCGGCACAGUCUCGCCGAUUGCCGCUCGGUCAAGAACUUGGCCGAGCGGUUUCGGAAAGCCGAUGAGGAGAAGCGGCAAAGUCGACGGGAGGGCAAAACUCCCGCGACCCCCGCCAAUGAUCUGCGGGAGGAGUCUAAGAAGAAGGCCCCCGCCGAUGAUGGCGAUGACAGCGAGGGUCUGGAAUUCCAGAUACCUUAGGGAACUGUCGCCACUCUCGAUGGGGGGCUUGCGCUUACACAUCCCGUUGUGGAAUCAAGGCCAUGAGGCGUGAGCUUUUGGCCGCCGUCCCGACUCACGAGGCGGCACGGAAGGCGCGUUGGUCGGAGGUGAAGCUCACCUUUGAGCAGAGCGACCAUUCGACGGUGCUCGCCCGGGGUGGGAGGUUGGCUCUUGUGGUCUCCCCAACCAUCCACAACGUCAAGAUGAAGCGAGUCCUGGUUGACGGGGGGGGGGGGGGGGUGGGGGAGCUUGAGCAUCAUCUCCCCAGCCGCCUUCGACGCGCUCAAGGCCUCGGGGAUGAAGCUCCAGCCGUCCUUGCCGAUCAUCGGCGUGACCCCGGGGCACACGUGGCCUCUCGGCAUCAUCGACCUCCCGGUGACCUUCGGCAACCCCGCCAACUUCCGCACCGAGCGGAUCGAUUUUUAUGUGGUGGAUCUCAAUCUGCCCUACAACGCGGUCCUAGACAGGCCGGCGUUGGUAAAGUUCAUGGCUGCCACCCACUACGCCUACCUCCAGAUGAAGAUGCUGGGCCCUAAUGGUCCCAUCACAGUCUCUAGCGAUGUCAAGGUUGCCCUCACCUGCGUGGAGUUGCGCGCCGACAACCUGGCGGUGGCCACGGGGCGGCAGACCCCGGAGGCCUCCGUGUCCCGCGCUUCCAAGAAGCGCCUCGCCUUGGCUGAUGAGGUACCCAUCAAGGAGAUCCCCCUGGCGAUGAUCCGUCCAAAACCGCCAGAAUUGGCGGGACCUUGGACGCUGCAUAGGAAAGCGCGCUCGUCUCCUUCCUGCGGGUAAACUCCGACGUCUUCACAUGGAAGCCGUCGGACAUGCCUGGGGUCCCCAGGGAGGUGAUCGAGCACCGGCUUGCUGUGCGGCCGGACGCGCGGCCUGUUCGGCAGAAAGUGUGGUGUCAAGCCCCGGAGCGGCAAGCCUUCAUCCGAGAGGAGGUGGCGCGGCUCCUGGAGGCUGGCUUCAUCCGUGAGGUGAUCCAUCCGAAGUAGCCGGCAAACCCGGUGGUUGUCCCGAAGGCCAACGGCAAACUCCGGAUGUGCGUCGACUACACGGACCUCAAGAAGGCAUGCCCCAAAGAUCCUUUCCUUUUGUUGCGCAUAGAUCAGAUAGUCGACUCCACUGCGGGGUGCGACCUUUUGUGUUUUCUAGACGCCUACUCUGGGUAUCACCAGAUCCGCAUGGCUAGGGAAGAUGAGGAAAAAACUGCUUUCAUCACUCCUGUGGGCACCUUUUGUUAUACAACUAUGCCUUUUGGUUUAAAAAAUGCAGGCCCUACCUUUCAGCGUAUGACUCGUAUUACUUUGAGUAAUCAGAUAGGGCACAAUGUAGAGGCAUAUGUUGAUGACCUAGUGGUAAAGACGCUCCACCAGGAUACGUUGUUGCAUGAUUUGGCCGAGACUUUUGAUAGUCUUAGGUCCACGCGCAUGAAACUGAACCCCGAUAAGUGUGUGUUCGGUGUGCCGGCGGGCAAACUCCUCGGUUUUCUAGUCUCCUCCCGAGGCAUAGAAGCUAAUCCUGAGAAAAUACGCGCGAUAGAGAGGAUGUGCCCCCCCAGCAAGCUUAGGGAUCUACAGUGCGUCGCUGGAUGCAUGGCCGCCCUAAGUCGAUUCAUAUCGAGGCUGGGUGAGAGGGCGCUGUCCCUAUUCAAACUCCUCAAACGCUCCGGGCCGUUUGUAUGGACGGAGGAAGCAGAGCAAGCUCUCAAUAAGUUGAAAGCUUACCUCACCUCCCCCCAACCUAGUAGCCCCAGGACUAGAGGAGCCGUUGCUACUCUACUUGGCUGCAACCCCCCAUGCGGUGAGUGCCGCCCUAGUAGUUGAACGCAACGAGAGUAGGCCAGGGGCCCCCUCAACUGGUGAUGGCCCCUCGUCCCCCCAAGACCCGAUGCCCGAAGCCCCCAACCCCUCGGAGGGCCCCGAGGCCCCCGCAGGAAGAGGAGAGGCUCCGACAGGCGCCCCCGAGGCCUACGAUCGCGACAUGAUCCGAGAUCCCCCUGGGGUUCCCGAGCACGAGUACCCCGGACCAGUUGCCCCUGACAUCGCGAACCGGCCCCACCGGAAGGUGCAGUGGCCUGUCUACUUUGUCAGUGAGGCGCUCCGAGACACGAAAACCAGAUACCCACAGGCCCAGAAGAUGCUUUAUGCAGUCUUAAUGGCCUCAAGAAAAUUGCGCCAUUAUUUCCAAGCACAUCGGGUUUCCGUUGUAAUGUCUUGCCCUCUUGGUUAGAUAUUGCACAACCGAGAGGGCACCGGUCGGGUAGUGAAGUGGGCCAUCGAGCUUGCUGAGUUCGACCUGCACUUCAAACCGUGGCACGCGAUUAAAAGCCAGGUUCUGGCUGACUUCGUCGCAGAAUGGACACCGGUGGAUGACCCUCUCCCAUCCGAUCUCCCCUCCCUCCUUGGAGAUGGUGAAGACCCGAGCACCAACAUUCACGCUGGGCACUGGGUUAUGCACUUCGAUGGCUCCCUCAACCUUCAUGGUGCAGGGGCUGGAGUCAUACUAACUUCGCCAACUGGGGAUGUCCUUAAGUACGUCGUUCGGCUCGAUUUUCGAGCCACGAACAAUAUGGCGGAAUAUGAAGGACUCCUCGUAGGGUUGAGGGUGGCGGCCGGAAUGGGCAUCCGCCGCCUCCUAGUCUUAGGCAAUUCCUAGUUGGUCGUGAAUCAGAUCUCCAAGGAAUACCAGUGCACCGACCCGCAAAUGGAGGUGUACGUACGUGAGGCGCGGCGUGUGGAGCGCCACUUCGACGGACUCGAGCUCCGGCACGUGCCCCGGCGCGACAACGCAAUCGCUGAUGAGUUGUCGCGUAUCGCGUCGGCGCGAGCCCCACUCCCUCCGGGGACCUUCGAGGAAAGGCUCGCGCGGCCGUCGGCACAAUUGGACCCCCCGAAGGGCCCCGGCGCUACAACCUCCACCCCGAGCCCCGAUAACCUGCGGGCCUCGGGGCCCGAGGGGGUUGACCCCGACCCCCCUCGUCACGUCGCCUGGAUGGCUCACAUCCGGGCGUACCUCGACAAUAAUACUCUUCCCGAGGAUCGCGCGGAAGCUGAGAAGCUUGCGCGCAUUUCUAAGCGGUACGUGCUCGUAGAAGGGACCCUCUACCGAUGCGCCACCAACGGGAUGCUCUUGAAGUGUAUCUCUCGAGAACAGGGCAUCGAGCUCAUUGCCGACGCCCAUGAGGGUGAGUGUGGGGUGCAUUCCGCCUCGCGCACCUUGGUCGGUAAGGCCUUUCGGCAAGGUUUUUACUGGCCGACCGCGUUGCAAGACGCACAGGAGUGGGUCCAGCGAUGCAAGGCGUGCCAAUUCCACGCCAAGCAAACCUACCAGCCGGCCCAGGCUUUACAGGUCAUCCCGCUCUCUUGGCCCUUCGCAGUCUGGGGGCUAGACAUCCUUGGGCCAUUCAAAGCGGCUCAAGGUGGGUAUCAGCACCUGUAUGUCGCCAUUGACAAAUUCACCAAGUGGCCCAAGGCUUACCCGGUCGUCAAAAUCGACAAGCAUUCCACCCUCAAGUUCAUCAGGGGCAUCACGUCCCGGUUCGGGGUGCCCAACCGUAUCAUUACGGAUAAUGGCACACAGUUCACCAGUGAACUGUUCGGCGACUAUUGCGACGACAUGGGUAUCAAGCUAUGCUUCGCCUCGCCCGCCCACCCCAAGAGCAACGGCCAUGUUAAGCGAGCCAACGCAGAAAUCCUCAAGGGCCUCGGGCCGCUUCGGUCGCUCGGACUUUGACCCCUGCAAGGGUUCGGACACCGACGCCCCCUGGGAAGGAAUCCCGCUGCAGAAGAUCCCUGACCGUGUUAGCGAAGGAAAAGAAGAAGAAGCAACAAGGGGCUGAUACGAGUAAAGAGCACCGAGGCGGAUGCCGACAAUCGUACCUUAGGGGGGGUGGGGGUUGAAGGUCCACUUCGGGGGCUCGAUAAAGCUUCCCCGGCACGGCUCUGUCUGGCCUAUCUUUCGGAGCCGCUUCUUCUUUCGCCCAAAUUCGGGAGUGACUGGGCGCUUGCGCCCCGCCGGUGGUCGGUCCGCCGUGCGUUCGGCACCCCUUCCGUGCGGGGGAGAGGGCGGUCGGGAUCCGGUCGUUUUUCGCUUCCCCUUCGGGUCGCUGGCCGAAUCUCCGCCCAGACCGCGGCUCGGGCCGGGUACCCUGGAGCUGCCGCCCCCGCCGGGACCGCUGGCCCGACUCCCGCCUGCGGUUGCACCGCUGCUGCCCACACCAACGGCGCCCCCACCUACAUUGCUCCGCCGGGACCGAUCCCCGCCGGCACCAACAGCCAACAUUACCACCAGGAUUCUCUCCCGGUCGCGGUCGCUACAGAGGGGAAGGAUUCCGGAUUCCGUCUGGAAUCAGUGUUUGCUCGGCGGAGUCCAGACCCAGCACCCGCCGAAUGUCACGCCCGAAAUUUCUAUCCAAAAUUCCAAACGCUUACAUGUGUGUGAACCCUCGUCUAGGAAUCAGCCGAGGCACACAAUAACAAAUUGAUAAUAGAGUACAAUUAUUACUCUAAUUAAUAAGCAAAUAAAAUGUCAUUACAGAGGUAGAUAGUUCCUCUCAAUCAAUAAAAAUCUAAGCAGCGGAAGAAUAAGAUAAACGGCGCAGACGACUCCACUCCACAGGCAGCUUGACCAGGGCUACACCUAAUCCUCCACACCAUCAGCAUCACUGUAGAACUCCUCCUCUGAUGAAUGAUUGCAAGGUGAGUAUAUGACAUACUCAGCAAGCCACGCAGCAAAUAUGCAAGUGCACAGGAUAACAAAGGAUGGCAUAGUAGGGUUUCAUUUGCAUAAACAGCAUUUAAUGAACAUUUCUGAAUUUAAUAAAAUAGUUAAGUAAUAAUUAAACAAUAUUAAUCCAACGCUAUACAACAUACCCUGUUGCAUAGGCCCAACCAUUCUGAACAACCAUCCCGGCUGCACAGUUCUAUCUCCAAACCAGGAAUAUACCAUUCCAAACCAGGAGCUAAUCAAAUUAUUACCAGUUAUAGCAUCUUUUAUUAUGGUGAGAAGUGUGAAACUAAUCACGAAAGACAUUGUUAGACCCGCCCAUAACCGCGGGCACGGCUAUUCGAAUAGUUUUACUCUGGCCAGAGGUGUACCACUAUACCCACAAGACACAGCCCCACAACAUGUCACCAUGCGCCUCAAUACCACCACGGUACCUCAGAAAGGAGCUGUGACAGUACCCCUCGCACAACACAAUCCACCACAGCGCACCGUUCCUGGAUCAUAAUCACCCCCUUAUAAACAAGGCAUGGACUCCCCAGCGACCCCCGUGGGCUUAUCUCCGCCACUUCUCAGUCUGGUGCUCCACAAUGAACCAUGCUAUACAAAAGGUAAAGCCGUUGCCCACGCUGGCUUGUGGUUGGCACGGUUAAUGUUUCACAACCGAAACUCGUGAACCGGUCCUUAAUUGUCAUGAGCACGACCAUCAAAACCAUGUGCUCACAACCCACCAUUAUCAAGUUUUAGUUGGCAAUUUAAUUAAUUAACCAAUCACGAUUGACCAUCGUGAACUAUCAUUAAGCCAUCAUUAAAUAAUAGUGAUUUAUAAAUUAUCCCAAUAGUGUGCUAAUGUUUCUAAGCAUGGCUAAGCAAUCAUAUCUAAUAUCUAGCUGAACCAAUAUAUAAAGCUCAACUAGUCAAGUUAUAAUAACCCAAGGUAUCAAGGAAUAAAGUAAUCAAGAACAAAAGGGCUAUAACAAACAAUAGGUUAAUUCCACCCAAUGACAUUCGAAAAUAAAUGCAAUAGUUGAAUAGAAACAAUAGCUUUAAACAUGAUCAACAUGCUCAAGGGUUGUUUGGGAUCUGUGUGACUUGCCUUGCUGGCCUUGGAACUCUUCAAAUUCUUCUCCUGCAAAAACGGACUCUCCGGAAACGUCGGAAUCUAAAUAGAAAGGAGCAAAAUCACCAAACAGCACAUAAACAAGCAUGAACAGUAUAUGUGGAUAUUUUUAACAUGUAGAUCUAAAUUUUAGAAAAAUUUAGAGACUUGAACCAACUAAAUCCGAGCUAAGAUGAAUUAGUUAUGAAUUUUCAAAGAUUAAAUCGGAUUAAAACACUUAUAUGGGUUUUAAUUGAAUUAUGACGCAAUAAUGAAUUAUUUUUGAAAAUGAAAAAGGGGUUUAUUGCGUCAGCGGCUAGGGUUCGCGGUGAACCGGGUGCACGGCGGCGGCUCACGGAAACGAACGGCCGAGAUCGAUUCAUCCAAAACGGACGGCCAAGAUCCAUCGGUCCACGACCGGGCCACGGGAAACGACGACGAUGACGUCACCACCGGCGGCGGCUCGGGCGCGCAAGCUCGCCGGCGAACGACGGCGCGACGACGCGAACGGAGGACACCAACACGUAGAGGGCGACGCGGCGAACUCACCGGUUACCAAAACAACGGCGGACGAUCAACGGACGGCGACGGCAUCGAGGAAGAAGCGGCGGCGACCUUCGGCUUGACGACGGCGACGGUGUUCCGGCGGCCUACGGCGAUGACGGAGGGGCGGACGAGGUCGGCGAGCGGGCGGCUUGGCUGCGGGCCGGAUUGGGCCAGGAGAGAGAGAGAAGGUUUUGGGCCGACUUUCGGCCCAAAGCCAAAAGAGAACUUUAAAACCUUUUCUAAUUUAAAUUAUUCAUGAAAUGCAAUUCCAUUUAUUAAAAAUACUUCCUUAGCUCAAAUAAAUCCCAGAAAAAUCUAGGAAUUAUAGAAUUAAGCAAAGUAUUUAAUGAAAUUUUAUCUGGCCCCAUUUUAUAUUGGAAUUUAUUAAUUAAAACUAGAUAUUCUCUUCUAGGCUUUUAAAAUAAAUUCUAAUAAUUCCAAUUUAGACAACAAUUUAUAUAUUUGGGAUUUUUAGGGUGUGACAAACCUACCCCCCUUAAACAGAAUCUCGUCCUCGAGAUUCUGAAGAACUGGCGAACAAAUGCGGAUGAGCUGACUUUAAUUCAUCUUCUCGUUCCCAAGUUGAUUCUUCUUCCGAGUGAUUACUCCACUAAACUUUACAAAAACGGAUAACUCGAUUCCUGGUUCUUCUCUCAUCUGUUUCCAAGAUACGGAUUGGUUUCUCAACAUAUGUCAGAUCCUCUUGGAUUUCUAUCUGUUCAAGACUAGCUUCCUCAGUGGGUACCCUUAAACACUUUUUCAACUGUGACACAUGGAACACAUUAUGGACUCCUGCCAAAGAUUGUGGUAACUCCAACUGAUAAGCGACCUCUCCUCUUCUACUAACAAUCUUGUAAGGUCCCACGAAACGCGGUGCCAAUUUUCCUUUAGUGUGGAAGCGAUGAACCCCUCGAAGAGGCGUGACACGAAGGUACACAUAAUCUCCUUAUUCAAAACUCAAAUCUCUGCGACGAUUGUCGGCAUAACUCUUAUGGCGAGACUGAGCCUCACGCAAUCUUUCUUGAAUGAUCUUUACCUUCUCUUCUGCUUCCCUUAGGAUAUCAGUCCCGAAAACCUGACGUUCUCCCGUUUGAUCCCACAAAAGCGGACUGCGGCACUUCCGACCAUACAGUGCUUCGUAAGGAGCCAUCUGAAGACUAGCUUGAUAACUGUUGUUGUAUGAGAAUUCCGCAUAAGGUAGAUUCUUAUCCCAACUUCCACCGAAGUCUAAAGCACAAGCUCUCAACAUGUCUUCCAAAAUCUGAUUUACCCUUUCGGUUUGUCCGUCUGUCUGCGGAUGAUAAGCAGUACUAAAGUUCAGCUUAGAACCCAUCUCUUCUUGAAGUUUCUUCCAAAACUUUGAAGUAAACUGACUUCCCCGAUCGGAUACGAUCUUCUUAGGAACACCAUGCAAACACACAAUCCUUGCCAUAUACAAUUCCGCCAAACGACUUUCGGAAUAUGUUGUCUUUACUGGGACGAAAUGAGCCACUUUGGUAAGUCUGUCGACUAUCACCCAAAUAGAGUCAUGGCCUGAUGACGUUCUAGGUAGACCAGUGAUGAAAUCCAUACCGAUUUCCUCCCACUUCCAUUCAGGAAUCUUCAAAGGCUGCAGCAAACUUGCGAGUUUCUAAUGUUCUGCCUUGACUCGCUGACAAACAUCACAUACUGCUACGUAUUCCGCUAUCUCACGCUUCAUACUUGCCCACCAAAAUCUUUCCUUGAGAUCCUGGUACAUCUUAGUACUACCAGGGUGAAUGGAGUAUAAAGUAUCAUGGGCUUCCUUUAGAAUUGCAUCUUUUAAAUCUUUGUUGUCUGGGACGCAAAUUCUCUCACCCAACCAUACAGUUCCUUGCUCAUCUUCCAAGAAACCGAUAGCUUUUCCUCUUCUCAUAUUCUUCUUAAUUUCUUGAAUAUCAGGGUCGUUAAUUUGAGCUUCUCUAACUUGAUCAAUUAGAGUGGGCUUUGCUUCUAGGGCUGCAACGAAACCUCUACUGACAAUUCCCAAAUUUAAUCUUUCAAAUUCCUUGCAUAACUCCAAUGGCAACUGUCGUCCUUCCGUAGCAUUGCAAUAGCCUUUCCUGCUAAGAGCAUCUGCUACAACAUUAGCCUUUCCCGGGUGAUAAUGAAUUCCCAUGUCAUAAUCCUUAAUUAAUUCCAACCAUCUCUGUUGUCUCAUGUUCAGAUCUGGCUGAGUAAAAAUAUACUUUAAACUCUUGUGAUCAGUGUUCACCUCUGUACGAGUACCGAAAAGAUAAUGACGCCAAAUCUUCAACGCAUGAACCACUACAGCUAACUCAAGAUCAUGAGUAGGGUAGUUCUUCUCAUGCGGGCGUAACUGACGAGAUGCAUAGGCAACCACCUUCCCAUCUUGCAUCAGAACACAACCUAACCCAAGUUUGGAUGCAUCACAAUACACUUGGAAACCCUUCUUUGGAUCAGGUAAAAUCAAAAUAGGAGCUGAUAUUAAGCGACUUUUCAACUCUUGAAAACUCUGCUCACAUUCUUCUGACCACUUGUACUUCACAUCUUUCUGAAGCAGCCGUGUCAUGGGCUUAGCAAUCUUGGAGAAUUUCUCUAUAAACCUCCGGUAAUAACCUGCAAGACCCAGGAAACUGCGAAUCUCUGAAACUGUCUUUGGUUGUUUCCAGUUGGUUACGGAUUCCACAUUACUAGGAUCAAUGGCAACUCCUCCGGCUGAGAUGACGUGACCAAGAAACUUCACUUCAGACAACCAAAAUUCACACUUGCUAAACUUGGCAUACAGUUGAUGUUCUCGUAGCUUCUCUAGUGCAAGGCGAAGAUGUUCUUCAUGCUCUUCUUUUGUUCGGGAGUAGAUAAGAAUGUCAUCAAUAAAGACCACCACGAACUUGUCUAGGUAUUCCAUAAACACCUUAUUCAUCAAGUUCAUGAAGAAAGCGGGGGCAUUGGUAAGUCCAAAAGACAUAACAGUACAUUUAAACAACCCAUACCUAGUGGUAAAAGCCGUCUUAGGUAUAUCUUCUUCUUUAAUCCUCAACUGGUGAUACCCUGAUCGAAGAUCUAUCUUGGAAAAAACGGUGGCACCUUUAAGCUGAUCAAACAAAUCAUCAAUUCUUGGCAGCGGGUACUUAUUCUUGAUAGUCACAUCAUUUAGUGCACGAUAGUCCACACACAUCCUCUGGGUAUGGUCUUUUUUUUCCACAAAAAUAACUGGAGCUCCCCAUGGAGAUGAACUUGGUCUGAUGUAUCCUUUCUGAAGCAAAUCAUCUACUUGCCUCUUGACUUCUGCUAAUUCAUUGGCCGCCAUUCUAUAAGGUCUCUUAUGGAUCGGAGUUGUUCUUGGUACCAGAUCUAUUCUGAAUUCAAUAUCUCUUUUAGGCGGCAUACCAGGUAAAUCGUCCGGGAACACGUCCGGGUAUUCCUGUACUAUGGGAAUCUCUUCCAAAGCUAUUUGGUUCAGACUUGACCUUAAAGAUUCAGAAGACAAUGCAUGAACAGUUACAACUCGACCAUCAUUGUUGGUGAGAGUUACUUUUCUGUUGGCACAGUCUAUCACACCUUUAUAUCUGGCUAACCAGUCCAUCCCUAGGAUGACAUCAAGGUCUUUGGCUUCUAACAGAAUAAGAUUGGCAAGAAAUGGUACUCCUUGAAUUUCUAUUCUGACAGAGGGGUUACGUUGCAAAGAGAGUGCUUGAUUACUCGGGGUACUAACCAUCAAAGGACGUCUAAGAUCCUCUACUUCCAUCCCAUGAUUUCCCGCAAAACUCAUAGAUAAAAAUGAAUGGGAAGCACCGGAAUCGAAAAGCACUGUUGCAGGAACUGAGUUAACAAGGAACGUACCCAAAAUCACAUCUGGAGCACCUUGAGCUUCUGCAGCAGCAACAUGAUUGACACGAGCCUUUGAUGCUGGUGCGGUAGAGUUGCUCUGGGCAGGGACAACCUUCACGCGUCGGGGCUUCGGAUACUUGUCAGCGUAAUGUCCUGGGUCUCCACAGUUGAAGCACACCCCAGGCUUGCUGCCUUGCUCCCUCUUGGCAGGCUGUUGCUGUGUCGAAGCUGCAACAGGGCGUGGAGCUUGAUUGCGGAUGUUGUUGCCCGCGUUGUUGUUGAAGAACUCACGCUGCGAACGAACAACAGACGAAGAACCUCCCUGUGGCAUGGACUGGGGUCCUAAAGUAAGACGCGGCCUCUGACUAUUCCCCUGUUGUGCCUUGAAGUGAGCAAUCCGGCGUUUCUUCUGCUCCAUGCGGUUGUACUUGUCCUCCUGGCGAAUAGCCUUAUCCACUAACCUCUGGAAAUCAUGAUAAUCCCCAGUCAUGAGUGGGUAAGAAAGCUCAUUAUUAAGUCCUUCCAAGAACCUCUCCUGGCGCUCUUCAUCAGUGCGCACAUCUUCCGGAGCAUAACGAGCCAGACGAUUGAACUCGUGCAGAUACUCGGUGACCGUGCGAGAUCCCUGGGUGAGCGACCUGAAUUCCUUCUUCUUGAGAGACACCACUCCCGAUGGUAUAUGCGUCUUCCGGAAAGCAGCGGUGAAUUCAAGCCAAGUGAUAGGUUCAGCAGUAGUCCUGUUAAGGCGGAAGUGAUCCCACCACUCAGAGGCAGGGCCAUGCAGUUGGUGUGAUGCAAAUGAGACCUUUUCCUGAUCAGUGCACUGAAGCAAAUCUAACUUCUUCUCUAUGGCAUGCAGCCAAUCACCAGCUUUAACAGGAUUAGUAGUGCUAGAGAAAGUGGGCGGCCUCACACAAAGAAAUUCUGCCAACUUGUUCUGGGGAGGUGCAUGGUUAUUUCCCUGGUUCUGCUGGUUCUGAAGUUGCUGCAUCAUCAUGUUCAUAAGCUGUGCCUGUUGAGCCAGGACUUGGGCAAGUGUGGGAUUCUCUCUAUUGUUGUUGUUAUUCUUGAUGUUGGGACCAUUCCCGUUGCUGCGAGUGAGCACCAUCUGGCAUGGGCAGGAUCACAAGAAGAGAAACCGGGGAAAACUACUUAGGACAGAGAAUUAAUUUUUCUACUAACAUAACUUUUAUUGAUCUUAACUGAGUUUCAUUAUUACAGAACUGAAGACUCUCACACCACUAAACUCACCAACUACCUAACACUCGAAAGCAAACAAACGCAUGCGCUUACAUCCCACCACUGAUGUAAACCACAUGCAGGACCCACACACACAACCAAACUUAAACAAACAAACUAACACAACGAUCUAAGACAAUGGCUUGACAAGGCACUCUAGGUCUUCCGGGCAUCGGAGUUGAUCGAAGGCUCGUUCGGUUCGUCUCCAUCAUCUUGAGUUGCUCCCCACUCGAUCUUGGAAUGGGUGCGCUUCGAUUCUUCUCCUUCAUCAUCACUUACAUUGACGACCGGAGGAUCCGCUAGGGCUGGGGUAACUUCUUUCUCCACCACACGGACCUUUGGCGCCAAUUGGUAGCGAGGGAUGAAUAGAGCUCUCUUCCUUGCGGUAAGACGAACCCUGGCCUUCUACGGUGGUGCUUCUCCCUUCAAUGCGGCUAGUUCCUUCUCCAAACGAUCCACCUUGUCCUCUAGCUUGCAAAUCUUACCACGAUUCCGGUCUUCACGAUCUUGAGCUGCUAACACAGUCUCCGCGCGGGUCUCAUCCAUAGCCCACAGCAUCUCAACCAAAUGCCUUGUGGUAGCAUCAUUCUCAAUCCCCUCAGUCUCAAGGUAGCUGCCACGGUCACUUCCCUGGGGUUGGCGAGGAUGGUAGCGAUACUCAGUGUCGGCCAACUGAUCACUGUAGCGAUCGCGGAGCUCUCCUAUGGCGAUCCUUGCCACCUCCUGACAUGCAUGAAUGUAGUUUCCUCCUCCAGCUUCGAACAUCACUGAUAGGAUAUCUUCACUAUUACUGUUCAAGGUGACUUUGACUUGGCACUUCUCUUCAUCACGAUCAUGAGGAAUCUGGGCAUACAAAGGGGCAGUCCCAAAUCCUAUGGCAAAGGACAUCGUACGCAACUCCUGGACAAAUCCCUCAACACCAAACAAAUACUCAGGCUUGUAGCGCGGCAUCUAAAGACAAGUGAAAGGAGGGAGUUAAGACAUUUAUCCAAUUAAUAGCACAAGUUUUUGGAUUAAUUUGAAUAAAGUUAGAAAAUCAAAGUAAAAGGUAAGUAAAUAAAGUAAACUAAGCUUGCAAGAUAAGUUAAAACAGUUGGAACCAAGAUCACAAAUUUUGCACUUUUGAACAACAGGUUCCAAAAGAAAUAAAAGAAAGUUAUAAAAUCAACAUGCUAAAUUUAUUUCAUUGCAGCAAGAUUAAAUAAAACAAUGUUGUAAAACUUUUGCUGGUAAAUGGGCCAUUAGUACAGUAAUACAUGUACAGUACUAACAACACUGGAAUAAAUUUUGAAUGAGAACCACUAAAAGAGAUUAUGAAGUGCAUGUGCUAUUAGUUUGGUUUAAUUAAAAGAGAAAGGGAGGAGAACAGUUCUACUUUUCCAAUAUUUUUAGAGGGCUCCUGAGGGUAACCAUUUGGCAUAACCUAGGGUCAAGGAGGCUCUGAUACCAACUUGUCACGCCCGGAAUUUCUAUCCAAAAUUCCAAACGCUUACAUGUGUGUGAACCCUCGUCCAGGAAUCAGCCGAGGCACACAAUAACAAAUUGAUAAUAGAGUACAAUUAUUACUCUAAUUAAUAAGCAAAUAAAAUGUCAUUACAGAGGUAGAUAGUUCCUCUCAAUCAAUAAAAAUCUAAGCAGCGGAAGAAUAAGAUAAACGGCGCAGACGACUCCACUCCACAGGCAGCUUGACUAGGGCUACACCUAAUCCUCCACACCAUCAGCAUCACUGUAGAACUCCUCCUCUGAUGAAUGAUUGCAAGGUGAGUAUAUGACAUACUCAGCAAGCCACACAGCAAAUAUGCAAGUGCACCGGAUAACAAAGGAUGGCAUAGUAGGGUUUCAUUUGCAUAAACAGCAUUUAAUGAACAUUUCAGAAUUUAAUAAAACAGUUAAGUAAUAAUUAAACAAUAUUAAUCCAACGCUAUACAACAUACCCUGUUGCAUAGGCCCAACCAUUCUGAACAACCAUCCCGGCUGCACAGUUCUAUCUCCAAACCAGGAAUAUACCAUUCCAAACCAGGAGCUAAUCAAAUUAUUACCAGUUAUAGCAUCUUUUAUUAUGGUGAGAAGUGUGAAACUAAUCACGAAAGACAUUGUUAGACCCGCCCAUAACCGCGGGCACGGCUAUUCGAAUAGUUUUACUCUGGCCAGAGGUGUACCCAUGUACCCACAACACACAGCCCCACAACAUGUCACCAUGCGCCUCAAUACCACCACGGUACCUCAGAAAGGAGCUGUGACAGUACCCCUCGCACAACACAAUCCACCACAGCGCACCGUUCCUGGAUCAUAAUCACCCCCUUAUAAACAAGGCAUGGACUCCCCAGCGACCCCCGUGGGCUUAUCUCCGCCACUUCUCAGUCUGGUGCUCCGCAAUGAACCAUGCUAUACAAAAGGUAAAGCCGUUGCCCACGCUGGCUUGUGGUUGGCACGGUUAACGUUUCACAACCGAAACUCGUGAACCGGUCCUUAAUUGUCAUGAGCACGACCAUCAAAACCAUGUGCUCACAACCCACCAUUAUCAAGUUUUAGUUGGCAAUUUAAUUAAUUAACCAAUCACGAUUGACCAUCGUGAACUAUCAUUAAGCCAUCAUUAAAUAAUAGUGAUUUAUAAAUUAUCCCAAUAGUGUGCUAAUGUUUCUAAGCAUGGCUAAGCAAUCAUAUCUAAUAUCUAGCUGAACCAAUAUAUAAAGCUCAACUAGUCAAGUUAUAAUAACCCAAGGUAUCAAGGAAUAAAGUAAUCAAGAACAAAAGGGCUAUAACAAACAAUAGGUUAAUUCCACCCAAUGACACUCGAAAAUAAAUGCAAUAGUUGAAUAGAAACAAUAGCUUUAAACGGGAUCAACAUGCUCAAGGGUUGUUUGGGAUCUGUGUGACUUGCCUUGCUGGCCUUGGAACUCUUUAAAUUCUUCUCCUGCAAAAACGGACUCUCCGGAAACGUCGGAAUCUAAACAGAAAGGAGCAAAAUCACCAAACAGCACAUAAACAAGCAUGAACAGUACAUGUGGAUAUUUUUAACAUGUAGAUCUCAAUUUUAGAAAAAUUUAGAGACUUGAACCAACUAAAUCCAAACUAAGAUUAAAUCAGAUUAAAACACUUAUAUGGGUUUUAAUUGAAUUAUGACGCAAUAAUGAAUUAUUUUUGAAAAGGAAAAAGGGGUUUAUUGCGUCAGCGGCUAGGGUUCGCGGUGAACCGGGUUCACGGCGGCGGCUCACGGAAACGAACGGCCGAGAUCGAUUCAUCCAAAACGGACGGCCAAGAUCCAUCGGUCCACGACCGGGCCACGGGAAAUGACGACGAUGACGUCAGCAGUGACGUCACCACCGGCGGCGGCUCGGGCGCGCAAGCUCGCCGGCGAACGACGGCGCGACGACGCGAACGGAGGACACCAACACGUAGAGGGCGACGCGGCGAACUCACCGGUGACCAAAACAACGGCGGAAGAUCAACGGACGGCGACGGCGUCGAGGAAGAAGCGGCGGCGACCUUCGGCUUGACGAUGGCGACGGUGUUCCAGCGGUCUACGGCGACGACGGAGGGGCGGACGAGGUCGGCGACGGCUUGGCGAUUACGACGGUGCCUUUCCCGAGCGGCAACGACGACCGGAGCGACGGCGACGCACGGCUGGAGCUGCGGCGGCGAUGGCGGCGCGAAGCUACACGGGGCUAGGGCGCUACGGGCGGCGGCGGACGAAGACGAGGGUGGCGACGGGUAGCGGCGGGCUUGGGGGUCCUUUUAUAGGGGUUGGAAGGCAGCGGCGAAGGCCCACGGCAACCGGCGAUGAGAAGGAAAGAUUAGGGUUCGGAGGAGAGAGACGAAUCCAAUUCGAGAUUGAAUCCACGGAUUUCCAAACGAAAUUAGCCGACGAUUCCAUAAGAGAAAAGAUAAAGGGGAUCCCGGGGAUCAUUUCCCCUCUAUUAAUUUCACCGGAAACAGAAAGGGGCGGCUGGAUUUGGAAGGAGACGACGGCGGCGCGGCGCUAGGGUUCGGCCGGGCGACGGCGCGAGGAAGACGACGGCCCUGACAGGUGGGCCCCACCUGUCAGCAGGCGGACGCGCGCGCGCGAGCGGGCGGCUCGGCUGCGGGCCGGAUUGGGCCAGGAGAGAGAGAGAAGGUUUUGGGCCGACUUUUGGCCCAAAGCCAAAAGAGAACUUUAAAACCUUUUCCAAUUUAAAUUAUUCAUGAAAUGCAAUUCCAUUUAUUAAAAAUACUUCCUUAGCUCAAAUAAAUCCCAGAAAAAUCUAGGAAUUAUAGAAUUAAGCAAAGUAUUUAAUGAAAUUUUAUCUGGCCCCAUUUUAUAUUGGAAUUUAUUAAUUAAAACUAGAUCUUCUCUUCUAGGCUUUUAAAAUAAAUUCUAAUAAUUCCAAUUUAGACAACAAUUUAUAUAUUUGGGAUUUUUAGGGUGUGACACCGAAUCACCGUUUUCGCAUCCUCCUCGCCCCAGUCCCAACGCUCACCCACAUGAGUGCGCAUGAGAUCGUUGGGUCCAAUAUACUUCCACGCUUCGCGGGACCGCUCUUGGAGAGGUGCGAUGCGGCAAUGGAAGUAAUCACCAAAGACCAUCGCCCCCGUAAGGCCCUGGCUUCGCAGGCCCCUGAGGCGGUCCCGCACGGCGUCGUACUGCUCGCCCAGCUCCGAAGCCGCCAACCAUGCUGCGGACCUUUCGAGAGGGCCGGUGGGGAGUCGAAGCCGCGGGUGGUCCGGCAGCGCGGUGUAGAACCAAUCCUUCUUCUAGUCCUCCCACUUCUUGCGGAGAUGACUCUCAAUGUAUUGCCCCGCCGUGCCGGGCCGGGGCUGGAAGUAGCAUCCCCCCACCACUGCACCUUGCAGCAGCUGCGGGACGAAGAAGAACUGGAACAAUCGCAUCGUCUGCCGGACCCUAACGAACAUCUCACACAGAUGCGCGAAGAUGGCCAGCGUCAUCACGGCGUUGGGUGCGAGAUGCAAGGCGUGGAUCUCAUAGAAAUCCAAAACCUCGUGGAAGAACCUGGAGAAUGGAGGGACCAACCCCACCAUGGCGAAGGACAGGAGGUGCACGAAUCGAUCCGAGUACCGCGGUCGCGGUCGCGACUCCCCCGCCCUCAGGGCGGCCCCCUCCGGCAUAAUCUUGCGGGGGAGGCUAAGGUGCCUAUCCGCCGUGAUGUGUGAUGCCGGAAGCACAGCGUCGCCAGCACCUUGGGCCAUGGUGACUGGCGGUGAAGCGACGAGAGGUUUGGUGUGUGAAAUAGCGUGGAGUGGCGAAAGCGUAAGGGCUUAAGGAGCGCGAGUGCGGGUGAGCAGUCAGAGAGAGAGAGGAGGCGAAGUCCCCGCCUCCGUAUCCUUUUAUCCCUGCCUUGCCCGCGCCUGCCUCCUCGUUUCACGCCCACACGAUUGCCCCCAUGAUUCCCGCGCCAGCAGUUGCCUCAUCUUUUCCCGCGCCUACAAUUGCCUCAUCGUUUCCCACGACCGCUCAUCACGCCGCUCGCUGAAUCCACGCCCCGCAUUUAGUGCUCCUGUCAGCGGCUCACUCGGCGUAGGGCGUGCGACAUUCGCAGGCGCAGACUAGGCGGACUGCCGUCAGUAUCGCCGCGUAUAUGGCGAACGAGGAGAUCGAGGUAUGGUCCAACCGACUCCCGAUUUUCGUGCCUAAGGCGCCCCCAUCAUCAGCAUGGUUAGUGGCGAUCGAAUCGCCGUUAUUAUUGGCACGCCAAUCCGGCCGCUUGGCAGCGUCUGUCUACAUUCUCCGCCGGGCCCACGACCCAGCUUAGGAGGUCAAGAGGCGCCAUGUCAGACCGACCUCAGGAGGCCAACGUCUGACGCGGUGUCGGGGGCUACUGUCGGAGAAGUGGGCCCGGGGGUAUGCGGAGUAAGGGAAAACUACCUUCCCAUCCUGGCGCAUGACCUACAGCAUGGCUCUACCCCCGUACCCCCCGGGUCGAACGAGCAGUCGGGGGGCCUCGGGGUGCCACGUCAUACCCCUCGGGCCCUCGCGCCGUCUUACCCCGAGGGCUCGGGGUGCCACGUCAUAUCCCUCGGGCCCUCGGGCCGUCUUGCCCCGAGGCCCCCGCCUGUCCGCCAUCUGGCGGGAGGAGCGAGCGGGGAGAGAGCCCAAGCCGAGCCUUCUUCAAUGAAACACAGCGCCCCAACUGCCCUCUGCCUCAUUUAAUGCGGUAGGGGCAGACGCGCGGCGUACGCGACUGGUGCAUGGCAAACAGGAAUGACCGGUCUAUGACCGGCCUGUCACCAGUCGCGUCUGACUGGACGGACAGCUGCACCCCCAUGUCACAUCUGCCUCCGGCGGAGUGGAGGCAGGUAUGACCCGUCCCAUCGGGAGGGUCAUUCGAGAUCCUCCCCGCCGGAGGACGGCCACCACAGUUCUUCAUCCAUUAAUGGGAGAAUGACAAGGAUGUCCCCCAUGUCAGGCAUGGGACGGCGCUGGGCCCCACUCCAAAGACAAACCAUGGCUUAGCUUCCAAGCCAAGGCACAAGACAUGUAAUUAAUGUAGAGAAUAUUUUCCCUUCUCCCUAGGUAGAUCUCGGAGCAUGUGUGGUAUCUCCUUAGAAUAUAAAAGGAGGGCCACGUCUAGUGAAAAGGGGGAUCGGACUCUGGACCCAGGGGGGAUAGCUUCUCUAACUCUAGCUUGUACAUCUCAGAUUCGGAGGCUUCCCGACCACAAAAGAAUCAUUAUACAAACAGGAGUAGGGUGUUACACUUCACAGCGGCCCAAACCUGUAUAAUCUCGUUGUGUGCAUAUUAGCUGAUAAUUUAGGGGGCGAGUACAUGACUUCCAGAGGCGGGCCCUUUCCCCUAGCCGAACUCACAAAAGGGGGAUCCCAUGAUCUCUCGCUCGAGAGGAUCACUCCUCGACAGCAACGCACUAGCGGGCAUACGGCUCCAUCUUCACAGGCGCUCAACUGGGAUAUAAGCCAGGACUCCACUUAGGACUUCUUCUCCAAAGCUUCUCUUACUGAAGGGGGGAAGAUAGAGCAAGAAUGAGUACAACCACAGUACUCAGCAAGCCACACCGGGAGAUGCAUGAUUAAUACAAGGGGUACAAGGGGAUAAUAAUAGGGGUUAUGUUUUGCAGUAAACAGUAUUCAAAAGUCACUUAAUUGCUCAAAGCUAUUUUGUAAAUACGAUCCUAGAGCUACACAAUAUUAUUAAUCAAGGCUGUGAACCCUCACGAACCUGCCUUAACCCAAGGCCUACGAUGAUUCAGACCGAACUGGCAACCCGACUUGGGUCCCAGCUCGUCCCAAGCCAACCCUAUCCAACCAUUACACAUUUUAGUUGUUAAGCAAGUUUUAAGAAUUAAACCACUAACUUGGGUACAUUGCUAGGCUUACCCAUAUCCGAGGGCACAGCUAUUCAAAUAGAUUUACUCUGAUCAGAGGCGUACAUCUUUACCCACAAAACACAUCUUUACUCCGCAUUCCAUGGCCUUGGAACCCGUCGUAAACAUGUGACAUAACCCUUAACCUAUCCGAGCCGUGAACAAAAGUACCGACCCAACCCUACCUACGGGCGGUAUCCCGGACAAGCAGGCUAGGAUUAAGUCCCUAGCAACAGGAUCUAGACCGGGUGCGCCACACACAUAGGGGUGAGACCACCCGCGUACUAGUCCAGUGCCAUGGCAUCUCGACUAACGGGCUCCGACCCGUGUAGCCUUCAUUUGCCUAGACAUCUCGAUUACCGAGCCGCAGCUCGUGUAGCCUUCAUUUGCCUCAGAGAUAUCUAUCGUCGCAAUGACUUUAUCCAUCUCUAUCCGUCUCCUUUUGUUCAGGACUAGACUAAGCACCGAGUUAAGCCUUACCCAUUAGACAUGUGGUUAGUACGGUAGUGCUUUGCAACAGAGGCCCGAAGACCGGUCCUUAUGAUAGCCGAGGUGCUCCUAGCAAAACCAUGCACCUCGAGCCCAGCCUAAAACCAUUUUAGAAGUUUUGAAUAGAGGGGGGGAGUUGUGUGUUCAAUUGCAUCACAAGUCAACCAUUUCACAAUGUCCAAAUGAUAUGAGAACUCCCAAAGUCUAAAGUUAUAAAACCAUCUAGUGUUGCCUAAUUAAUCAGCGAAGCAUCUACCUAAAUUCAUACUAGUGGAACCAUGAAAGGAGUACCCACUAGUUGGGGUUUUGUUUUCUUGGGGUAAGCAAGGUGAUAAUAACAAUUGCAAUGAUAAGGCUAUAACAAGGAUUAAUAGGUAAUGCUAAAUAAAACAGUGAUAACGCGGGAAAUUAAAUAAAGCAGUAAUGCAAUAAUUUAAAUCAAAAUAAUUUUAUAAACUAGGAUUCAAUAUGCUUAAGGAUGAUGCAACUUGCCUUGCUAAGAGAGAACGGCCUUCCGAACCUUCGGCGACGACCGCGAACCACGCUUCGAGAACCUCCAGAACGACAGAAGCUACGGGAAGUACACAAACAAAGCUACAAGCCUAUAAAGAAGCAAUAACAAUACUUAAAAAGAAAGCACAGGGUUCUUUAGGUUAUAACAAACAUUAUAAGACUUGAACGGGUCGAUUCGGAGUUCGUAGGACCAAGAUAUGGUCAUCCGAAGUUUAAUGUUGUUACAUGGAGAUUUACGGAUUAUUGUAAUUAGGCUUUGCAACUAUAAAACAUGUGUAAGCGCUAGCCUGGAAAAGACAAGAAGGCUGCGCCGUUAACAUGCGGACCCCACAUGUCAACCUAAAGGACCGCUGUAGACCGAGUACACAGAGACGGUCCACGGGUCAACGGAAGCGGACCCCAUGUGUCAACCGAGGCGAGUGGCCGACAAACGGACUCCACCAGACACCACGCGGGCUGCACACGUGGAAACCACGCGGCUACCGAGUGGGCACACAAACACGGUCACCACACGCACACAUGAACGACUACCGACACCGGUACACGGGUACCGGGGUCGACAACCGCACAACGGGCACGGGGCGACACUAAAAGGACAGAGGACGGAGUAGUGAGAGGAGGGAUCCUUACCACCAUGUGACGAGGCGCAGAACGACGACGACGAACGGGCACGGCGGACACAACUCGGGGACAACGAAGACGAACGGCGAGGGGACGACUUCGGCGGCGAUCCUUGGACGGAGGCGAGACGAGGCCGGCGCAAUGCUUGACGAUGCGGAGCCGAGGACGAAGACGAUGACGGGGCUGCAGCGGCUCGCUUGACGAACCACGGGCGGAGAACACGAUCGGCUUCACGGAGGGACGAACGCCACGACGACCGGGAACGACGAGAAGACGACGACGACCGGGGCUGGCGAGGAGGUGACGAGGGCAGCCUGCAGCAGCUGCACGGAUGCAAGGACGGCGUGGAACACGCCACUGCGAUGCCAACGACAGAGGCGGCGCCGCGAGACGAUGAGCCGGCGAGGACGAACGGCCGACCGGAAGAGGACGUCGACGAGGACGGUCGAUGACGACGACGAAGACCGGCGGGGUUCGGGAGGAAGGGAGGCGAGGCCAAGGGCGACCUUGCCGCUGCGAUGCCGAGGAAGACGGCGACGUCGGCCGGCACACGGGCACGGAGGAAGGAGCGGCCGAAGGAAACGUCGAUGAGGAGGAAGGGGAGACCGGCGCGGCGACGGCGGUCUCCGGACGAAUCCGAGGGCAGGCCGGGGUGGAGGUCGAUGCCGCGGUACCGAAGAAGGAGAUGGCGACGUCGGCCGGCGCUCUGGCGCGACGACCGGGGCGACUGGAGGCGGUGAAGUGGCGGCAACGCCACUGGACGUCGACGAGGACGCACCUCCGGCGGUCACCACGUGAAACGGAGGGCAGGCCGGGGGAGAGGAGGCGGCUGCGACGCCGAGGAUGGCGACAGCACGGUCUACAGGUGCACGGGCAAGGAGGGGGAGGCGGCUAGAGGUGGCCGGCGGAAUGAGAGAGAGAGAGGGAAGAGGCGGGGAGAGCUGGUGCAGCCACGGGGAGACGCGGGAGGAGGCUAAAACGAGAGAACGGAGGAAGGGGAUUCCAUUUUAUAGUGGAGGGGAACGAGCCGGCCACGGGAGGAGCGGGGAACGGCGGCGGGAUUGGUGGCCGGCGGCCAUGGAAGGUGGCCAUGAAUGGCGCGGCCGUUCCGGGUGCAAUGAUGCGCGAUUGAUGAGGGAAAUUAUGGGGAAUUGAAGAGGAAGGAAAGGGAAUUAAUUCCCUCAAAUCAAUUUUGGAAUCCCAUGCUUGAAUCGCGUGGAUUUGAGGGAGCAAGGAACUAGGGUUUUCACGGGAGGGAAAGAGAGGAGCCGGCGGGAGGAAGGAGACGCGCCUGGCAGGCGGGUCCCACUAGGGAGGCGCGGUCAACGCGCGUGCGCGGGAGGGUUGUGGCUCGGCUUGGGCCAGGACAGGCCCAGGCGGGAGGAGGAGAGGAGGGAGUGGGCCAGGAAGGAGAGGAGGAGGGAGUAGGCCGGUCCAAAGGGAAAAAGGAAGAGAAGGAGAGGGGGAGAAAGAAGACUUCGGCCGCGGGCCGAGAGGGAGAGGGGAGAAACCUUGGGCCAGACUUGGCCCAAAGGGAAGGAGAGGGUUAUUUUUAGUUUUUCUUUUUAAUAAACUCUUAUAAUUGUUUUUGUUGCUUAAUAAUUAUUUUCGGUGCUCUGAAAAUUCAAGUAAAAUUUGAGGGCUCAUUUUAGACCAAGGAGAAUUUAACAAAAAUCCUCCGGACCACAUUCGAAUUAUUCUUAUACGCAUUUUAAGGUUUGCUAAUUUCUUUUCGAAUUUUAAUUAAUUCUAUUAUUCAUUUUAGAGAAUUAUUUUUAUUUCGGGAUGAAUUUAUCAGGACGUGACAGCGCCCGAUCGGGAGGGGAUAAAAUCGGGCGCUGACGUCAGCGCCCGAUUUACGUGUAAUAUUGCUUUAAACUGAUUUUUCUCUUAAAUUACUUAUCCAAAUCAUGAUCUGAUUGCACCAUUAAAUUCGUUGCAAUUAAAUCUUCAAAACAAUACCACACAUGGAUAUAUUCCGACGAAAAUAAUUUAGCUAAUUAUUGAAUUUUUUUUUAAAUGUUGCACGAUGUUCCACGAGGUAUAUCGGAAUUGUUUCACUAAGUAGAUCGAAAAUGUUUCACUUGUUUAAAUCGGACGUUGUUUCACCUUAUAUGAAAACAAUGUUUUAGCAAAUAGCAAAAGAAUGUUUCAGUUCACUGCAACAUUAGAUCUAUACAUAGUAAAACAUUGUGAGUACACUAGAUGAAACAUUUUUCGGUGGAACAAAAAAAUAAACCAAAUUCUCUUAAUAAGGGGUUUCCAAAAUAUGUGGGUUAUUUGUUGCAAUUGAGUAUUUCAGUUCACUGCAACAUUAGAUCUAUACAUAGUGAAACAUUGUGAAUGCACUAGAUGAAAUAUUUUUCGGUGGAACAAAAAAUAAACCAAAUUCCCUUAAUAGGGGGUUUCCAAAAUAUGUGGGUUUUUUUGUUGCAAUGAAGUAUUUCAGUUCACUGCAAUAUUAGAUCUAUACAUAGUAAAACAUUGUGAAUGCACUGUAUAAAACUUUUUUGGUGGAAAAAAAACCAAAUUCUCUUAAUAGUGGGUUUUCAAAAAUAUGUAGGUUUUUUUGUUGUAAUAGAGUUGUUUGUGUGUGGACACGUGGUGGGCCAGGGGGAGGGGGCGGGGGAGCGCCCGAUUUUUCCUCGCCCCGCCCGGUCGCCCGAGCGUAAUCAUUAUCAUAAAACCUUUAUGUAUCGGUACCUAAUUAUUACCUAAUUAAAAAAUAGGUAAAGGUUUUGGUCCGUCUUUUUGUCUCGCUGAUUUUUUAUCACGUCUCUGGUUUUUUUCUUCGUCUAGCUUUUUUCGUUGUUUUUUCCAAUCAAGCUUCGGUUUUUUGUCCGGUUUUUUCCGGGGUUGUUUUUUCGAUCUACUCGUCCGAUCGGUUGCACGCGCGCAGCGGCCCAAACCCAAGCCCCCACCGUCACAUCGAUUUAUCUCCCCAUGUGUUUUCUCCUUAAAUAAUUGCAAAAAUCGAUUCCCCACUCCCUUAUUCUUUUUCUCACAAUUUCCCCUUUCAAUUUGGUUUUAAUUCGCUGUUUACUCCCAAUUGCCCAUGAUGGCUGGCCGACAAGCUUCUCCGUUGUUUUUCCCUUAGUUUUGCAGAUUCACUCCGAUUUUGAGACAAAAAAGGGGAAAAAGAUCGAGUGGAUCAAAAGCCCUUAAUCAAUUUUGGGAGAUCGAUAAUGAUUCGGCUAGAUUUGAUGGGGGGAUCAACAACGAUUUGGCUAGAUUUGAUGGGGGAUCGGCUCCGGUAUGAAGGCACAUGACUGUCUUUUGAAGGUUGAAGACGAUAGUCGGUUGUGUGAGCUAGGUAUAUAAUAUGCUCAAAGAUAGCCAACCGAGCAGAUAGAGGUAGCGGACUGGGCUGGGGUUGAAAAGGAAAGAAAGAAUGUGCUUUUGGUCCAAAACCAAGAAAUAAUUUUUAUUAACUUUUCAAUUAUAAUAUAUAGUUAUUCUAAUAUUUCCAUUUAUCGCUCAACUCCUAAUAGCUGUUAUAUCACCGAAAAAUGUCUUUACCCGUUGCAACGCACCGGCAAUUUUUCUAUGAAUAUAAUUUAAAAUGAAUUGAAAUUCAGAAUUAAAAUGAAGAACUAUUGAAAGAAGAAUCCAUAUAAGAACCCAAUACGAGAUUAAUUAAAAUUGAGAAUAAAAAAUAAAAUAAUAUCCAAAUUUAUAAAAAUUAAAAGAGAGUUUCAAGUGGGAAUACAAUUUUGAAACAACUAAAACUGAAAAUAAAAAAUAAAAAUAUUAAAGGAACACAAUACGGUAUUAUUAAAAUAUAAAAUAAAAUUUUUGAAAUUAGAAAAAGAAAAAUAUUUCAAUUAUGAAUAUAAUUUAUAAAUAACUAAAAUUGGUGAUAAAAAAAAGAAUAUCUCUACCAUUAUAAAAAUUGAAGAUGUUUUUAUUAACAUUUUGAUACCUCAAUCGGUUUUAAUCACUAUCUCUACUUACUUAAAAGAAAAAAAGAAAAAGAAAGUCCGACUUGUCAGGGUUAUGGAUACCACAUACCUAAUAAUAGUAGUUGACUAAAUCUCGGCGGAACCCACCACAUACCAUGUCUUAUACGGAAACAACCUUCGGAUAUAGAAGAAGUUCCGUAUAAGGAAAGAUGAAUAGAGUUCUACAUGUAAACGACAAGGACUACUCGAAUUAUAUCCAUAUUGGUUUCCCUAGUUCUACUUGGACAAGGGGACACCUAUGGGUAUAAAUACAAGGCCCCUAGGAGGAGAGGAGACACAAAACAACAUAAGCCACAACAUACAAGCCAACAUGUGCCAAGACAAGAUGCCGGAUAUCGACUUUAGAGAUAAGCAUGGCUAGUCCCCUACAGUGUCUACGGAUGCUGUCAGGAGAGAUAUAGCCUUGUCUUUGAUCUCGCCGGAUGCGGAUUCGAGGAGGAAGCUACCUUGUUGCCGACUACGUGAUGAUACUUCAGUCCGCCAUGGCGACAACAGUUAAAUAGGCUACCCAAAAUAUUAUACUUGUGUGAUUAUGGUGAAUAAGAGCAACGACCGGCUUCGGCCAACAGGAGUAGGGCUAUUACCUGACAAUUCAGGGGCCCGAACCUGUAUAAAAAUCAUCGCCUCCGUCUUUUUUACUACAAUCUCGCAUAUAUCCUAGUACCAACGAUCCUCAUACUAUGCAAAUACCGGAAUCGCGACAUCAAACGUCGACACGACUCAAAACGGUAAAAACAAGAAAAAAAAAUGGAACCAAAAUGCGAUAAAGAAAAGCUUCUUUCGUCAGUAAAAAAUCGUCCUGACUCCCGUAAAUAAAAAAAGGAAAAAAAAUAGUCACGCCAGUAAAAAAAGUCAGUUUGGUUUGUUUUUUUUUUGCUCCGGUAAUUUUUUUUUGUUUUUCUAUGUGCGAAAGAGUUUUUUUUGCACGCACGCUCUUGUUUUUUUUUCCAUUUCUUUAAUCCGAUAUGUUCAGCGCGCGUCUCUGAUGCUAUUGGUUGUUUUCGUCAAUUUUUGUCACUGGUUUUUUCUCCCGUGCGCCUUUGGUUUCUCAUACGAUUUUUUAAUCCAGCCUAUUCGCCACAUGCCUCUUGACUUGAACCCUUGCGUCGCGCCACCAUAUCAAUCGCGCGUUUUCUCCGUCAAAUUGAUUGUAAAAAUCGAUUCUCCAGUCCUCCCUCAUCAUUUUCUCCAUUUUCACCGGAUUUAAUCCAUUAAAUAUUUGCCGAUGAUGAUAGCGAUCUUCCCAUAUUAACAUUUUUAGUUAUAAUCUAUAGCGAUCCCAAUGUUAUAAUUUUCAUUAACCUUUUCUAUUGUAAUGUAUAGUGAUCCCAAUAUUUUAAUUUAUUGCUCGGCUCUUAAUAUAUCACUAAAAAAAUGUUUUUACCCGUUGCAACGCACGGGUAUUUUUUCUAGUUGAUAUAAAAGACUAUCUAAAACACAUGGCGAUAUAAAUUAAGUAACAUGCUUAUAAAGGAGUAGAGUGGUGGCGGUUGAUACGACGUAUAAAAACUGUAAAUAAAACACCAAAUAUAAUCCUAAUAAUGAUUAAAAGGAUGGACGACAGACAGGCCGUGAAGCAAACGGGCAAGACGGUUGCCGGAAUUUCUAGAAAGUAAAAAAUAAAUAAACUCCAUUGAUAAUCAUAUUCGAUUUUUAAAAUCUCAAUAACAAUAAAAAGGAGAAGCAAUGGGCGGGGUGUAUAGGAGUAAAGUUGAAGAGCCGCCGACGAUUGGCGGGACUUCUAGAAAAUAAAAAAUGAAUUCCAAUGAUAGUUAUGUUUGAUUUUUAAAAUCGCAAUCAUAAUAAAGAGUAGACGGUGGACGAGCCGUAGAGUAGCAUAGUGGCAUCAUUUGACAGGACUUCAAAAAAUUUUAAAAAAUAAAACCUAACAAGACAAUAAACUCUAAAAACUACGAGGACCAACUUUUAAAGGUUCGGAACUUGUAAAAGGUGAAAAAAACCAAUGAUAAUCAUGUUCGGUUUUAAAAUCUCAAUGACAAUACAGAAGAGAGGCAACGUGCGAGCCGUAGAGGAGUACAAUGGCAAAUCAGCUGACGGUUUGGCGGAACUUCUAGAAAGUAAAAAAAAUAAACCCAAACAUUAAUUAUGUUAGAUUUUUAAAAUCCCAAUGACAAUAAUGACAAGAGAUAGUGGACGGGUCGUAAAAGAGUAUAAUGGCAGCGUUUGAUGGGACUUGUAGAAAUUAUAAAAACGAAACCCAACGAGACGACAAACUCUAAAAACUAUAAGAUCCAAUUUUUAAAGGUUCUAAGGAGAAUGAAUAGAAAUAGUGGUAGAUCGAGCAAGUAAGUAAAUAAAGAAGGAGAUGACAAAAGUAAGGGGUAGCAACUGGUGUGACUUCUAAAAACACGGGGAUGAAAAUAUUUGGUCUUUUAAAAUCUUAAGACAACGAGAUAGCUACUUAAUAAAUUUUAAGUAAAAUCAUAAAAAAUAUAUAUAUGAUUUUGUAAGGGUGCUAGCCACGCAAUUACGCGGGCCACCCAGCUAGUUUUGUAAAAAGAAAACAUCCAAACCAACGUACAAACACACAUAAUAGUUUUGGAUCAUACUAACGAAUGUACGCAUAUGUACUAUACGUACAUCCCAUCUGUUACCUCCUUAUUUUUUAUUUUAAGAAGACAAAAAUCAAAAUUACUUUUACAUGAAAAAAAUCACAAAUAUGAGAAAUAUUAGGUCUAGCAGCUCUCCCUCCGUCACUUUAAAAAUCCUAUGAAUGCAUCUAAAUCUCUACGUGGUGCUAUUAAAUUAAAGAAAUUACUAGAAUUUUCUUUAAAAAAAUACAAAGCAACCGACCAUCAGUUUCUACUUGAAUUGAUGCAUUUAGGUUGUUAUAUUAAACCUCUUUCCAUCCCUCCCUCCCUCCCCACCCCGUGCCGUGUUAAAAUCUAUUAAACAUUUUAUAAACACCUCUAAGCUACUAUAUGACAUUCUUAAAUCAAAGAAAAUUUUAGAAAUUUCAGAAAAAAAGACUAUUAUAUACUCCCUCCAUCCCAUAAUAUAAGCAUGUUUAGCAUAAUAUCAUGUCAACCAUUUUUAACUUUAACUAUUAAUAGAAAAAGAAAUAAAAAGUAUCAAUCAUGAAAAAUUGAUAAUACUAGAUUUAUCAUUAAUCAAACUAUCAUAGUAUGUAACUCUUUUUAUUUAAAACAUCCUAUUUUUAUAGAUAUUGUUGGUCAAAGUAGCAUCUCGAAGACUGUGUCGAAAUAAAAAAUACUUAUAUUUUAGGAUGAAGGUUGAACUAAAAGUCCAUUAAACAUCGUAUAAAUACUUCUGAGCCGCCAAGUAACACCUUACAAACGCUCCUAUGUCGCCAAGUGACACUCUAAUACGAUCAUCGAUUUUCACUUAAAUUGGUGGAUCUAUUAUUUUAUUUUCGAAGUUAGAUUUUUUUAAAAAAAAACACACACAUUUAGAACCUCCCCGUCACAUACGUACCAGCGAGUUAUCUUCAUGAGAAAUUAAAAUCAAUAUUAUUUUUACAUUAAAAAACCGCAAACGCUUUUACACAUUUGGGUCUAGCAGCUCUCGCUCUCUCGUUCUAAACAUGCUACAAACACUUUUAAUCUGCUAUGUGGUGCUAUUAAAUUAAAUAAAAUACUAGAAAAUCUUAAAAAUGAAUAAAGCAUUAGACUAUUGAUUUGUUAGUUUUUUUAAUAAGAAAAAACUCUAAGCUGCUAUAUGACAUUCUUAAAUUAUAGUAAAAUCUUAGAAAUUUUGGAAAACAACAUCCAACCAUCGGAUUUGACAUAAAUUGAUGGACACAUUAUUUUAUGUCAUUAGAUCUUUUUUAAAAUCUAACAAAAUUUAAUAAUAAUCUUUAGACCAACCGGGACUAAAAAUCAAAGAAUACGCCUGGGCUUUUGAACCAGGACGAAAAAUAAUUUUUAGUCACGGUUUUCUGAGCAACCGGGACUAUUGUGAUUUUUGUCCGACUGGGCAAAGAUGGUUUCUCCAAUAAUGUAUGGUUGUAGUAGUGUUACCUCACUGGGUGAAUUUGAAGAAAAAAACACACAAUUUCAAUAUGCCAGAAUGAAUCUCUACUAUUAUAAAAAUUGAAGAUGUUUUUGCCGGUAUUUUGGUACGUCAUCCGUGUAUGAGUCGGUUUUUAGGUUUGUUCUUUUUGGAAAUAUAAAUCCGUGUUUGAAUCGGAUUUUAACUUCGAUUGCUUUUGGAAAUAUAAAAGGAGUCAUAUAAUAAAUCUUAAGUUGAAAGUCGGACUCCUAAUUGCAUCUCAUGAUUUUUUUAAAAAAUAUUCGAGCGAAUUCCAGCGGUGAAUUUCACCCUAACUAUACCGUAUAACAAUCAUAUGAUUAAAAUAGCAUUCACCCGUUGCAACGCGAGGGCAUUUUUCUAGUAUAAUAUAAAAAAUUCAGUCAUUAAGCUAAUUGAGCCCAACGUAAUCGAAAAAAACGUAAAUGCCGCGCAAAAUCAGUAUAUGGUAUUAGAAUUUGAUUUUCAAAGUGCCAGAAUUGUUCCAAAUCAACGGAAACAGUUUGUCCUGUAGUAAUCCUUGCAACAGGUUCAAGUCAAUUCCAUCACCUGUUUAGAAGUUUGAACUUUCGUAGCGAUCCAGAUCCCCUGCUUUUACACUAGCAGGGAAACACGACAACAACAUCGUGGUAAAUCCGCUACAGCGUUGUGCGCCGAAACAGCUGUUUAUCACUGUAGCGACCGAUCGAUCGAAGUUAUUCUCCACUAACUUCUUAAGCUUAACAUACGAAGAUGCCUCAUCAUCAUCUACUAAUUAAUAAGAUGUAUAUCAUCAUCCACUAACCAUCAUCACAUUUAAAUAAUAUCUAUAUAGUUUUUAUAAUUUAAGAGCUUUUCAAAUACAAACAUGUUAAAUUAUCAUCCGACAUAAUUCAUAUAAUGUUUCAAUGUAUAUCUUUAUUAUGUUUUAUGAUAUCCUAUAUACUUAUAUAGUUCAUCCUCACUUAAUUCUUAAAUGAUUAAUCUAUGGUCCAAAUUAUUUUUCUCCUUUUUUCCUCUAAUUAAAUCAUAUCACAUCAACUGUUUUUAGCAUUUAGAUGAUUAAUCUACCGUCCAAACUAUCUCCCUACUUUUCUUCUUCCAUAAAGUCAUACCACCUUACUUUUUACGUUUGAAUCAUCAUUCUACAUACUAUUUAAAUUUAAAUUAUCAUAAAUCAUAUUAAUUUACUCAAUCUGAUGUUAUCUAGCUAUCUUAUAUGUUAUUUUUUUAUUGUUAUUUUUUUUAUUGUUAUUAUACUAAAUUUCCACAGCAAUGUGUGGGGUUUCACCUAGUAAUAAUAAGGCUAAUGAUAUCUCACGCACAACGUCGCACGCCUCGCACUCGAAUCUUCCGAGAUCCGUUGAUGAGAUAAACCAAACAGUAGUGUGCAUCUACGGAUCUACCGGAUGAUACGUCCUCCUCAUUGAUAUCGACGUGUUUCACCGUUGCAACCGCCCCCGAUUUUGAUUGGGACUCUCUCCGGGGCACGUCUAAUGGACGGGUGAUCGUCCCCCUACCCCCUCCUCUCUCUCUCUCCCCUCUCCCUCCUCCCUUUCUUCUCUUCUUACUAUAUUCUCUUCUUACUACAGUAAACCACUAAAUUUUUUUUAAAAAAACAAAAAGUUAGAAAAAUUUAUGUAUAGAAAUAUUAUAUAUAAAAAAUUUGAAUUCAAAUUCAAAUUUGAAUCGGGUAUGUAAACUUUUGACUUAUAAACUUUGGGUCUAUAAACUUUAGGUGUAUAAACUUUAGAUGUAUAGAAAUACUAUAUAUGAAAAAUAUUUGAAUUCAAAUUCAAAUUUGAAUCGGAUAUUUGAAUUCAAAUUCAAAUUUGAAACGGGUAUAUAAACUUUUGACUUAUAAACUUUAGAUCUAUAAACUUUAGGUGUAUAAAUUUUAGAUGUGUAGAAAUACUAUAUAUAGAAAAUAUUUGAAUUCGGAGAGAGGGGGGACCCGAUCGCUACCCCAUCGGCUGGGCGAUCGAUCGCCCAUUAGAGGUUUCGCUCUCUCUGGCCCCUAUAGGCUACGAAUUUAAAUAGUAGUAUAUCCAGAUUCAUAAUACUAACAUAUAUUUUAUCUAAUUAAAAUUUCUUACUACUCCAUGCUAAAAUAUAAACCUAAAACGGAAUUGCUAACCUCCUACCGACAGAAAUUGCAUCUCUAAAUCUUGUAGAUUUUAGGUCACUGGAUGAGCUUCGAGAUUCGUACUCUAGACCUUCUCCUUCAACUCCAGCGACCUUCUCUUCUCCUCCGGCGCCAGCGACACCCUAGACUCUAGCAGAGGACCCCUACGGGUUAGAGUCUCGGGGUGGGGUGGGGGUGGGAGGGGGAAGGGGAGGAGAUCGCUGGCUUAGAGGGAUGACCAGGGGAGGCAGUGGGCCAGCGGCGGCGUCGGUGGCGGGGCAUCUCGCCGCCGACGGCUCGAGGAGGAAAGGAGGGUCUCGCCGGCGCCGUUGACGUCCCCCGGCCAGCCGAUGAGGCGGGCGGCGGCACAGCGGGGCGGUGGCGGUGGGGGAUCAGGUGGAGGAAUAGCGAUGGGAGGGGUGGUGGUUGAAUACGCGUGACAGUAGGGGAACGGGAAGGGUUAAUGCCUCUGCACGAAUCUUAAAGUGCAUCUAAUGAUCCAAAAUUUGAAAGAUGAGAGAUGAGAUUUUCUGUUAAUAGAUAUGUAGACAGUCCCUAUAUGAAAACAGUAUUAAAUAAAACAUUUACUAGUAAAAUCAAUCUAUAUAUGAAGUAUGCCUAGAGUAUUGUAAAACGUUUUAUUUAAUUCUAGGUUUUUAAUUUUGGGACGAAGAUAGUACUAACUAUAUUUUGUAACGGAGAGAUUGUUUUUGUUUGGUUCGGUGUGACUCGCCGUUUCGCCACAAUAAAUAUCCCACCCAUCCAUCCACCGGAGGACACUACAACGCCAAAGCACUGCACUGCACAAGCAGCUUCCUCGCCUUCGCAUCUACUACUCCCCCCAAAAUGGCGCAUCCGGUGGCUGAGGCCGACGAGAAGAGCCCCUUCGGCCGCCUCACCGCGGAGGAGUUCUACGCGCGCCACGGCGUGCUGCACACCUCCUCCACCUUCGUCAACCCGCGCGGCCUCCGCAUCUUCACCCAGCGCUGGGUCCCCGCGGGGGGCGACGCGCCCCUCCUCGGCGCCAUCGCCGUCGUCCACGGCUUCACGGGGGAGUCCAGCUGGACGGUGCAGCUCACCGCCGUCCACUUCGCCA